UUAAGGCCCAUUCGAAGCUGAGCGCGGUCCAUAUAUCACGUUUCAGUCAAACUGUGGCCGACAGCGAACUUUGCCGAUAUGGUCGCACGUGCGUGCUGUACGCAAACGGUGCAUUACCCACGGCAAAUACAAAA